rnacentral:rRNA from 1 species
CACACCGCCCGUCACACCAUGAGAGCCGACUCAACCAGAAGUCGCUGUUGCUAACCGUCAAGGGGGCAGGCGCCGAAAGGUGGGGUUGGUGAUUGGGGUAGA